UUACGGAAGGCAGCAGUGGGGAAUCUUGCGCAAUGGGCGAAAGCCUGACGCAGCAACGCCGCGUGGGGGAUGAAGGCUCUCGGGUUGUAAACCCCUUUCAGCAGGGACGAUAGUGACGGUACCUGCAGAAGAAGCCCCGGCCAACUACGUGCCAGCAGCCGCGGUAACACGUAGGGGGCAAGCGUUGUCCGGAUUUAUUGGGCGUAAAGAGCUCGUAGGCGGCUCAGUAAGUCAGGUGUGAAACCUCCAGGCUCAACCUGGAGACGCCACCUGAUACUGCUGUGGCUAGAGUCCGGUAGGGGAGCGUGGAAUUCCUGGUGUAGCGGUGAAAUGCGCAGAUAUCAGGAGGAACACCAGCGGCGAAGGCGGCGCUCUGGGCCGGAACUGACGCUGAGGAGCGAAAGCGUGGGUAGCAAACAGGAUUAGAUACCCCGGU
rnacentral:rRNA from 1 species